rnacentral:rRNA from 1 species
GACGACGCUGGCGGCGUGGAUUAGGCAUGCAAGUCGAACGGUAGGAUACCUUCGGGUAUCUGAGAGUGGCGAACGGGUGAGUAACACGUAGGUGAUCUACCCUCAAGAUUGGGGACAACCCAGGGAAACUUGGGCUAAUACCGGAUGAAAGCAGCAGUGAUGUUGUUUGAAAGGUGGCGUAAGCUGCCGUUUGGGGAUGAGCCUGCGCUCUAUUAGUUAGUUGGCGGGGUAAAGGCCCACCAAGGCGAUGAUAGAUAGGCGGCCUUAACGGGUGGUCGCCCACACUGGGAUUGAGAUACGGCCCAGACUCCUACGGGAGGCAGCAGUCGAGAAUAGUCUACAAUGGCCGAAAGGCUGAUAGUGCGACGCCGCGUGAACGAAGAAGCCCUUCGGGGUGUAAAGUUCUUUUAUAUGUGAGCAGUGCUUUCUAUGUGAACAGCAUGGGGAGAGAGAUAUUAGCAUAUGAAUAAGCAACGGCUAACUCCGUG